AAUUACGUCUGGGUCCAAGCAAACAUGAGGCAGCUGCCAGCCGGCCUGGGCAGUCUUGUCUGCCUCGGCUGUGAAGUGGGGAGGCUGGCAACAGUUUCCUUCAGCGCCCAGGAUGCAGCCGGCUAAGGGUGCCAAGAGGAUCAGCUGAGGUGAUGGCGUGAAGCCCUUUGAGCAUGGUAACACUACACAUGGAAAAUGUGCCUUCUCUCCUGUCACCUCAAGUCUCCCCAGCAACCACCAUGCAGGCAGGGCAGAGUGGAGAAAUGUAGCGCCUUGUCCCAGGCUCAGACACUACGGUGUCAGGGUGCACAGUGCAACCGUGCCCAUAGGCAGAGACGCAUUGAGCGACCCUGCAUGACUACAGAGAUGGGAAUUUCCAGAGUCAGGCUGCACACAGGUGUGCACACAGCCAGCUCUGACCUCCAGCAGAAGACUGUCCUCCCCUCCUUUGCCUUUCCUCUGCUGGCCUUAACUGCCAAAGGUCACUCUGGGAGCUUGGCCACUCCUGCCCCUGCCAGACUGGCGGAGUGGGUGGCCUGAGUCCUGCACUUACAUCUGGUUCUUC
rnacentral:sRNA from 1 species